UACGUAGGGUGCAAGCGUUGUCCGGAAUUAUUGGGCGUAAAGGGCUCGUAGGCGGUCUGUCACGUCGGGAGUGAAAACUCGGGGCUUAACUCCGAGCCUGCUUCUGAUACGGGCAGACUAGAGGUAUGCAGGGGAGAAUGGAAUUCCUGGUGUAGCGGUGAAAUGCGCAGAUAUCAGGAGGAACACCGGUGGCGAAGGCGGUUCUCUGGGCAUGACCUGACGCUGAGGAGCGAAAGUGUGGGGAGCGAACAGG
rnacentral:rRNA from 1 species